GCAUCUUCAUGGAGACGCUUACCCUGAUUUCCAGCACAGCGUUGCCAAGGCAACCGAGGAGGGAAAGAUGGCCACCGCUUCCGCGGGGUGCUUGUGAGGGUCGUCUUUCAGAGGAAGUCUCCAGAAGGGAAGCAUUCUCCCCGUACCGUGUCCUCUGUCUAAGGAGACCCGUGUCCUGUGAGUCUGCUUUCUCAAUAGACCAGGAGGUCACGUGUUCCUUUCACGUCCAGCUAGUGACUGCAGCUUAUGGAUGAUACGUACCAUUCCAUGAUGUCUGAUCCCCCUGGCCCAUUAUAUUAAUGCCUAUAAUUCUUCCUCAUGCAUUUUGGGGUCUGUCUGUCCUUCUGGAUAAGGAGACCUGACCUUCCUCUUCUGAUGAACAUUUGGAUGACUCCGGUUUUCACCACAGACAGCACUGCCAUGAGCAUCCUUGGACAGGACGGUCAUUUCCAUGCACAUACCUUUCUGCAGAUGGCGAUUCUGGAAAUUACUGGUCUUUUCUUGGAGUCACUUCCAGUGCUCAGAGAUUACGUGGUCUGCCUGCUUCAUCAGUGUGCAAUCUCUGAGUCACCCGUGACGUCCAUGGCUUCCGUCUCCCAGUCGGCUCAAGCAUCUCUAUAACCUACUGCUGUUCAAAACUAUCGUUCUGUACACAAAAUUUUUUAUAACCAACAAGGGGUAAUAAACUUUAUUUUCUACA